GCCCGGCCGCGCUGUCUACACGCCCGGGCCAUCUGUACACCAGCCGUCCGGACCGACACGGGGCGGCGCAGAUCGAAGGAGGA
ncrna:unclassified sequences aspS RNA